ACGCUGGCGGCAUGCCUAACACAUGCAAGUCGAACGAGACCUUCGGGUCUAGUGGCGCACGGGUGCGUAACACGUGGGAAUUUGCCUCGGGGUAUGGAAUAACUCAGGAAACUUGAGCUAAUACCAUAUAAUGUCUUCGGACCAAAGAUUUAUCGCCCUGAGAUAAGCCCGCGUAGGAUUAGCUAGUUGGUGGGGUAAAGGCUCACCAAGGCGACGAUCCUUAGCUGGUCUGAGAGGAUGAUCAGCCACACUGGGACUGAGACACGGCCCAGACUCCUACGGGAGGCAGCAGUGGGGGAAUAUUGGACAAUGGGCGAAAGCCUGAUCCAGCAAUGCCGCGUGAGUGAUGAAGGCCUUCGGGUUGUAAAGCUCUUUUACUCGGGACGAUAAUGACGGUACCGAGAGAAUAAGCCCCGGCUAACUCCGUG
rnacentral:rRNA from 1 species